UGUCCUACGGGGGGCAGCAGUGGGGAAUAUUGCACAAUGGGCGAAAGCCUGAUGCAGCGACGCCGCGUGAAGGAAGACGGAUUUCGGAUUGUAAACUUCUGUUCUUAGUGAAGAAUAAUGACGGUAACUAAGGAGCAAGCCACGGCUAACUACGUGCCAGCAGCCGCGGUAAUACGUAGGUGGCAAGCGUUGUCCGGAAUUACUGGGUGUAAAGGGAGCGUAGGCGGGAAGCCAAGUCAGCUGUGAAAUCCACCGGCUUAACCUGUA
rnacentral:rRNA from 1 species